GCCCACGUGGCGGAAUUGGUAGACGCGCAUGGUUCAGGUCCAUGUGCCUUUGGGUGUAGGGGUUCGAGUCCCUUCGUGGGCACCA
rnacentral:tRNA from 1 species